CGUCGUCGAUUUGCUGCGGGCAAAUCCAGUGGAUGUGGGUGUCGAUGCCGCCUGCGGUGAGGAUGAGACCUUCGCCUGCGAUGAUUUCGGUGCCCGCGCCGAUCACGAUAUCCACGCCGGGCUGGAUGUCGGGGUUGCCCGCUUUGCCGAUGGCGCUGACGCGCCCGCCCUUGAGCCCGACGUCGGCUUUGACGAUGCCCCAGUGGUCUACGAUCAGCGCGUUGGUGAUGACCGUGUCGGCGACCUCGGCGGCGACGCGCUGGCUUUGGCCCAUGCCGUCGCGGAUG
rnacentral:sRNA from 1 species